UUCAUAUGAGAGUUUGAUCCUGCUCAGGAUGAACGCCGGCGGUGUGCCUAAUACAUGCAAGUCGUACGCACUGGCCCAACUGAUUGAUGGUGCUUGCACCUGAUUGACGAUGGAUCACCAGUGAGUGGCGGACGGGUGAGUAACACGUAGGUAACCUGCCCCGGAGCGGGGGAUAACAUUUGGAAACAGAUGCUAAUACCGCAUAACAACAAAAGCCGCAUGGUUUUUGUUUGAAAGAUGGCUUUGGCUAUCACUCUGGGAUGGACCUGCGGUGCAUUAGCUAGUUGGUAAGGUAACGGCUUACCAAGGCGAUGAUGCAUAGCCGAGUUGA
rnacentral:rRNA from 2 species